AACAAAAGUGUAAUAAAAAUCUUUAGUGGGCAAAGGGGAGGAGUGAGAGGUGAUGGUUGUUUAUGGUGUAUCUUGUCUUCCUUCAUCAAAUCAAUCCAACCCCUCAUUCCAUAAUGAUGGUUUCUUCAAUAUGAUCAAUUUGAAGCUGAAUAUUUGUCCCCCUAAUAACUUCACAUCCACUUCAAUCCAAAACAAUGUCAAAUCACCAUCAUCAUCAUCAUGUACCAGCAACAGCAACAUGAGAAAGGCAUGCUGCAGCUCAUUAUUAUGUGGGAGAAGGCCAUUUUUAGCAACAAUCUCCACCACUACUGCUCUUAACCUUAUCCAACCUCACCCAUCCAAUGCUUUAGAUUCCAUGGAUGUGCUAAACAGGAUUCACCCUCCACGACCAGAUUGGUAUGAAGAGUUUUAUGCUGCAGCCAUGGAUAGAACAAUGAAAUCUUAUGAGGCCGAGAUUGCAGGUUAUAAGUCACAGCUUUUUGCAAAUUUGACUGGGAAGGCUGCAAAGGUAUUGGAGCUUGGGAUAGGAACCGGUCCUAAUCUCAAAUACUACAGCAAUGCAUCUUCUGGUCUAAGUGUUAUUGGUGUGGAUCCAAAUAGAAAGAUGGAGAAAUACGCCCAAGCUGCAGCAGAAGCUUCUGGUUUGCCUCAAACAAGUUUCAAAUUUAUUCAUGCUGUUGCCGAAGCAUUGCCUGUUAGUGAUGCUUCCAUGGAUGCAGUGGUAGGAACGUUGGUGCUAUGUUCUGUUAAGGAUGUCCAUCAGACUCUUCAAGAGAUUAAAAGGGUGCUUAAACCGGGUGGUCUUUACAUAUUUGUGGAACAUGUAGCUGCCAAAGGUGGUGAACGCUAAGCGAUUGUUGGACGUUUACAACUCGACUAUAACUUGUACUUAGCUUGCAUAUCCAAUCAAGGUGAACAGGUUAGCUCAGAGACGUAUUUGGAUGGUUGAUUUACUUGAUCAUGCUAGACUUGGACUUGGACUCCUUGGAUCCAUGAUUCAUUUCCCGAAUUAGGGGUUAUGCUUAUGUGUGAUCUAGAUACUUGCAUUAUUGAAUGGUUCGUAUGGAUUACUUGAUCCUUUUUAUGCAUUUAGACUUACUCUACAUAAUUUCCAUGUCGUGCUGUGCUUUUCUUGUGAUACCCCAUGAUUCCGCCUUGUUGGGGUGUUACAUUUUUGAUAUUCAGUGAUGUUAUCAAUGACACUGUCCUUUUCACUA